rnacentral:lncRNA from 1 species
AGUGGUGUCGGCGGCGGCGGCGGCGUCCGCCCCAGCGCGGGGCGCGAGGAACCGGGCGCAGGUUCGGUCGCUGCGCGACCAGGGCCGUACUCACCGCCAUUGUCGGCUCCCUGGGUUCGAAGCCCGCGAAGACUGGUGGGGUCAGCGGGCGGCACGGUCACGCGUCCGCACCCCUGCUAGCAUACGCGCUUGCCGCGCUGUCUGCGCGCUGGAGAAGAGCGCGAUUAUCCGCGUGACUCAUCCAGCCCUCCAUCUCCCCCUCCCUCUCUGCGCUCGCAGGAGUCCGCUCUCGUCGCUCAGCGCCAGUGCCGGUGGCGGUGCCGGCGCUCGGCCUGACCUCGCACGGUUCCUCGCGGGCCCUUCUGCUGAGGGGUGGGGGGCGCUAGGGGUGUGGAGAGGAGGCAGUGCCCAGCACUGUGCAGCGUGAACUGGGAGCCUCAAGAGAAGGCCAGAGGAGUGUUCCGCCGGGAACAGGCGGAAAGAGGCACGAAUGGGGAGUUAUGGUUUUGAUACUUUAAAUAGCGAGAAAGGGAGUGAAAGGGCUCAAGAUUUACUCAGAGGCAUAAGGGAGAGAAGAGGGACUGUGAGGCGCGGAGACAGUUUUCAACCAGCCAUCUCGAAGCCCUUUCCUUUUUUUUUCUUUCUUUUUUUUUUUUUUGUGAGACAGAGUCUCGCUGUGUCGCCCAAGCUGGAAUGCAGUGGCACGAUCUCAGCUCAGUGCAACCUCCGCCUCCUGCGUCCAAGCGAUUCUCCUGCGUCAGCCUCCCGAGUAGCGGGGAUUACAGGCGUGCGCCACGACGCCGGCUAAUUUUUGUAUUUUUCGUGGAGACGGGGUUUCACCAUGUUGGCCAGGCAGGUCUCGAACACCUGACCUCAAGUGAUCAGCCUGCCUCGGCCUCCCGAAGUGCUGGGAUUACAGGCGUGAGCCACUGCCUGUAAUAUUUGAUGACUAAAUUGCACUGUAGAAUAAUAAUAAUAAUAGAAGACACCCAUUAAAGAAGAAUUAAACACUCACUGAUGACUUUUCAAGCCACGCACUCUCCUUUCCACUUUAUGGAUGAGAAAUUGAGUCAUAAAGAGGUGAAAUGGCCAGUAAAGGUCAAAGGACAACUCGUUCCUUCGGCUCAGGCUCCGGGUAGGUCAGGCCCCCCUAAAGGGACUUCCCUGGGAAGUGACCAUGUGCCAGGAAGUGGAGCGAUGCGGUGGGAUCCUAGCUCUCAAAAAGUGCACACCGAGCCCGCCGCAGGCGUCCUUGCCCACCGGGAAGGGAAUAGGAAACGGCGAUCUUUACUUCAAUCUUAUAACGCUGCCUCCCCCACCCCCACUCUCCCCUUGGUUUGUGAUCAGUAAUUUUCCAGCUGGGAAAUGUUUUGCUCUCAUCUUCUUAGCAAACAGUAUUUUUUUUUAAAACGUGAAUGUGGUGUUCGGUAUCACUUUCUAAACGUAGGUUUGGCGAGGUGUUUACUUUGGAUUCCGGCGUUCGGCGCGGGACUCCGCCCCCCUCUCCACGGAGCCCCCUCACCGGCGAACGCUGGCGCUUAGGCUGGUGUCAACCUAGGAAAGAGAAGAGAGGGGACACUGGGGAAAGUGGUGGAAGCUCGGGCACCGGGCAGAGAGUGCGCUCACCCCUUUUUGAGUUCUAGUUGCCAAUGUCCUUUGUCGUUGUCACCUGUUUGAACCCUGCGAUUCUGGUACCUAUUAGGUUUCCUCAGAAUAUUUGUGAUACCUGAUUUUUCCACUCCUCGCCGACCACAGAAGCAUUCUUGGAAUGCAUCUCGCCCCGAAUGAAUUGACUCGGCCCUCCCUGCCAACGCCAGGAAUCCCUCUAAGAUCCAGAGUCGGACGCCCUUGAGUGUGACUUCCAUCCUCUAGCUUGGCUCUGGCCAAGGGCUGCCAGGGUUGCAGCUGGGGGAUGAGAGUGUUUUGGCAGGGAAACCGAGGUCCUCCUUCCUAUGACCUCGAGGAGUUCAACCCCACCCCCCUAUAUAGGAUCAGGCCAGUUACUUUAACUCUGAUUUUUACUUUAAGCCCUUUUCAAACGGAGGAACCAAAAAAGGAAGACACCUGCCACUUCCUCCCCUACUCCUUUAAUUGUGAUGGCAACAUCUUGGGAUGCUGUGAUUUGAGGGCUGCAUGGGAAACUCACCACUUUUUCAGGAAAGCCAAAGUCCCUCACCCUGGAUGAACAGUGGAUGAGCCCUUGAUUGGCAGCCAUCUCCCUUGGGAUGUAAACGUGGGUCAGGACUUGGAAUUUCCAACUUAGGUAGGCAGCACACUAGAUUAUUUCUGCUUUACUUUUAUUUCUCUAAGGCAGUAGCCCUUCCCCCUCAAAAAAAAAACUAUCUGUAACCACCACAAUGAAAAAACAAUAUUGCACAGAAGAAUUGGAAAGCCACCAUUAUUAUGUCACAUAAUCAAGACAAGAUUCUGAAACUCGAUUGAAAAAGAUGAACUUGUUUCCAACCGGCCUUCUGAAGGAUAAAAGCCAGUCUCUCUUCGUGGCAGGCAACUAGCUGGUUAUUCCUCUGAUUGCGUCACAAAGGGAAAUCUGUAUAUUCACCCCAGAUUUCUAAAAGAAGCAAGAAACUUCAAGUUCACAAAUCAUCUCUCAAGGCAGGUGCCCUGUAUGACAACAAGGUUAUGGCCCUCCCUGUCUUCAGAACAGGUAGGGCCAGAAGACUUAAAUCCUUGCCCUAUAUAAUUUAUAAACAUGAGGCUGAGUAAACCUUUGAUGACUAAAUUGCACUGUAGAAUAAUAAUAAUAGAAGACACCCUUUAAAGAAGAAUGAAACACUCACUGGUGACUUUAUUUCAGCAAACUGAUAUUACUAGUUUUGUGGACUAGAAGUUAAUUAUUAAUGUCCUUGGAGUUAUAAAAUAAUUUUUUUUCCAGCACAAACUGCAUUAGUUGUCAGAAGAUGUGAUGAACACCAUUAGUGCUAGGGGAUUAAUGUGGAGCCAUGGAGGGGUGUGAUAGACUGAAGAAGCUGCAUCCAUGUUUCAAAUGAAAGAUUCAGCACCCAUAACUGGGUAUGGGGUCUGGACACAUAGAGCACCCCGUGACCUGGCUGCACCCUGGCUGGGUGUCUCUGCAUAACUGCCGCAGGACUCAAGAAAAACUCAAAAAAAAAAAAACUUUUUUUUUUUUUUGAGACAGAAUCUCACUCUGUAGCCCAAGCUGGAGUGCAGUGGCGUGAUCUUGGCUCACUGCAACCUCCACUUCCAGGGUGGAGGUGGAAGCAGUUCUCAUGCCUCAGCCUCCAGAGUAGCUGAGACUACAGGCGCGUUCCACCAUGCCCAGCUAAUUUUUUGUAUUUUAGUAGAGAUGGGGGUUUCACCAUGUUGCCCAGGGUGGUCUCCAACUCCUGAGCUCGGGCGAUCCACCCGCCUCCGCCUCCCAAAGUGCUGGGAUUACAGGCAUGAGCCACUGCGCCCUGCCUGAAAAACUGCUUUUUAAAAAAGUGAAAACAAGAGAUAGAUUUUAAGUACCCGAAUUGCUUUGAAAUGAAAUCCCUGCUAAUAAAUAACUGUAAAAGGAGCUUGCAGCUUUCACAAGGUGGCAAAGCUUUUCUCAGUCUCCACCCUCAUCUCCUUGUGAACUCCAGCCUCUUUU